UACGUAGGUGGCAAGCGUUGUCCGGAAUUACUGGGUGUAAAGGGCGUGUAGGCGGGACUGUAAGUCAGAUGUGAAAUUCCGAAGCUUAACUUCGGCGCUGCAUCUGAAACUAUAGUUCUUGAGUGAUGGAGAGGAAAGCGGAAUUCCUAGUGUAGCGGUGAAAUGCGUAGAUAUUAGGAGGAACACCAGUGGCGAAGGCGGCUUUCUGGACAUUAACUGACGCUGAGGCGCGAAAGCGUGGGGAGCAAACAGG
rnacentral:rRNA from 1 species